GAUGAAGAACGUAGCGAAAUGCGAUAAGUAAUGUGAAUUGCAGAAUUCAGUGAAUCAUCGAAUCUUUGAACGCACAUUGCGCCCCCUGGUAUUCCGGGGGGCAUGCCUGUUCGAGCGUCAUUUCACCACUCAAGCCUCGCUUGGUAUUGGGCAACGCGGUCCGCCGCGUGCCUCAAAUCGUCCGGCUGGGUCUUCUGUCCCCUAAGCGUUGUGGAAACUAUUCGCUAAAGGGUGUUCGGGAGGCUACGCCGUAAAACAACCCCAUUUCUAAGGUUGACCUCGGAUCAGGUAGGGAUACCCGCUGAACUUAAGCAUAUCAAUAAGCGGAGGGA
rnacentral:misc_RNA from 1 species